UCUGGAAUCGCCUGGAUGAAAACCCACUUGUGAUUCGUCGUAAGUAGAUCAAAGCCCCUGUGGGCUGGAACUGGCCGGACAGUGAGGUGUGAGUAGGGGACCUGGGAGAAGGAGAGCCAGAUGGCUGGCACAGUGCUCGGAGUGGGGGCUGGCGUGUUCAUCUUAGCCCUGCUCUGGGUGUUAGUGCUGCUGCUGUGUGUGCUGCUGUCCAGAGCGUCUGGUGUAGCGAGGUUCUCUGUCAUUUUUGUAUUCCUCGGUGCUCUGAUCAUCACAUCAGUUCUGCUGGUCUUCCCUCGAGCCAGUGAAGUCCCAGCCCCAGAGGUCGAAAUGAAGAUUGUGGAUUCCUUUUUCAUUGGCCGCUAUGUCCUGCUGGCUUUCCUCACUGCUGUCUUCCUUGGAGGCCUCUUUUUGGUUCUCAUUCAUCAUAUCCUGGAGCCAAUCUAUGCCAAACCACUGCGGUCCUACUGAGCACUAUUCAGGAAAGCCAAGACCCUGUUCUGUCCUUCGCUUUUGAUGUCAUUAAUGAGCAGAAAGGGAGCCCUCGCACCUCUUCAGCAAGCCAGGAUAAUAGCGAAAACCUUACAACGUUUGUACCACAUCUGACAGUUUUACAAAGCAGUAUCACAUAUCCCGUCUCAUCGCAGCCUCCUAUCGAUCUUGUCAGGUAUGUAGGGAUAAGCAUCUCCAUGUUAUACACAUAAGGAUGUGGAGGCUCAGAGGAUAUGCCCAAGGUCUUAUAAAUGAAAGUGAGCAGAGAAGUCAGGAUUGCCCAGGGAUUUCUGGUUCUAGGCCCAGUGCUCCCUCUACCCUAGUACGUUCCUCUGCUCCCCCACACACUGGCCUUCUGCAGACAAGGCCCAGCCUAGGAUGGCAGCAGUACAGAGCAAAGCAGACUCUGCUGGGACAAGCUGAAGGCCUUAGGCACAUUCCAUGAGUUCUGAGCCUCUCAUCUAGAGAUCAGAGAACCAACCUCACGGUUGCUGAGAGAUAAGUGGGUAUGUCUGAAGUCAGACUCAGUUCCAGACACAGAGCAGAUGCUUACCAAGUAUUCAUCCCCCUUUCCUGCUUCCUUCUUCCUCUCCCAGCCUCCCCUCAGGCCUGGCCUGGGGAAGGCAGAAGGGAGGAGCACCGAUCCUCUGCCCCCUCCUCCAGGGCAGGCAGAUAGAUACUCUGCUAAUGCCUCCUGCUCUCAGUUCCUCUCCCCCUGAACCUGGAAGAUGCCAUCCGUAAGUGGGAGUGCUUCCCCAGAUACGAUGCUGGUCAUCAUGACCCCAGGGGCUUCUUCCACACAUUUACCAUCUAGGACCAGGUCCACGGCUCCGGCCAGCUCAUUAGUCAGAGCCUCCUGCUCAAAAGGAGAGCCAGAAAGGCCAGAGAGAGCGUUACCCUCAGCACCAGCACACAGCCCAACCUCUUGCUGGCUCUGCCUCAGCCACUAGCCUAUCUGUGCGGCCUCCACACCCGCCACCAGUGGGCAGUACACAGAGAACACACCAGGCCAACCACCGAGACUUGAUCGGAAUUUUCUCCCAGAGGCUUUGAUUGGUAGUUGCUUUUUUCUGUACACCCCAGGCAGAGGGGUCGGAUGAUCUCGGUUUCUGAACUUCAGGAGGUACGUACGGCUUAGAGUCCGAGUUCAGAGGGAAAACUAUUUCCCUGGAUCCUGCCUCUGUCCUCGGGGUACAUCCAAAGCCCUAAGGAGAGGAGUCUGCCAACCUCUGUGGCAGCUCAGGCUCCUUCCUUAGGAAACAGAUCCCAAGCACCAUGCUCUGCUCGGGGAGAGAGUCUUUGGAGUUGGCCCCCAAGAAAAACACAAAGGAAGUUGGAAAAAUCACAGUGGAGGAGAGAGGAUUUGCAUGCAGGCCCCAUUCUAAUGGCACAUUAGUCACCGACUUGAAGAAAAUACUCACAAAAGUCAUGGGACUUGAGGAAAAUACUAUCGCGGGUGGGUUAGGGCCAGACUAGAGCUAUGGAGACAUAUGGGGACAACAGAGGACACAUUAGCAGGGUUGGGGGUAGGGGUGGGGGGGCCACGGAGCACAUCCAGGGUCUGGCUCCACUCUGGGCUACAGGUGGGCUCAGACUGGGUGCUGAGCACCAGAGCACUGGUUUUAAUGCCCACAAGAGGUAAGGUUGGGGAUACAGCUAUAGCUGUCUGGAGGACUCACCCUCUGUCUCUGCCCAGGGAUGACUUCCAGGCUAGGAUCUCUUUGUACACCAACCGGCAGAGGAGCUGUAGGGAGUUCGAGUACCCAAGGGAAGGGAGGGAAAUAUUAGCAAUGAACACAUGGUUAGUCCCCGGUGCUAGGUGACCAGGGGGCUGGCAGGAAGGAAGGUUGUGGGCACAGUUUCACCUGGCAGGGGCUCGCUCAUGGGAGGAAAGUGGUUCUGAGUGAAAGGCAGCUGUUCUCAUGUUCCAGAGCCCCUCACGGCCAAUGAUUUGGACCUCCCGGGUUCUAGCCUGGCAGGACAGGACAUUCACUCCCACCAGUGCCCAUGUGUGUACCCCAAGAACUCGUACCAAGCAGGCCAGGAUGUCAGCAGAGAUGAGCAUGUAGAAGACAUUGUUCCAGCCUGUGGGUGAAAUAAGGCCAGCCAGAAGGGGCCCCAGAGCCGCACCUGCAAAGAACACAAUGUCAGAGAAGGGAACCCAACAAGGGGCCCUGAACCUCCCUGCCCACCUGUGGGCAGCAUUCCAAGAAAUGUGCUAAAAACAAGGCUCAGGGCUCAGCCACCAGGAACCAAAAGCUAGAGUCACAGACCUAUAGACCCAGUGCCGUCGAUGAUGGCCGUGACGGUGGAGAGUGCCUUUGCGUUGCCUUUCAGGCUCUGGUGAGUUCCCUGGGGAGAGAGAAUGGAGUGGGGAGGAGCACCAGGAGAUGGAGAGGCAGCACCAGGCAGGACCAGGGCUGGGAGUGGGGCUAACUUGGGGAAAGGCAGCAAUUGGGCUUGGAGUUGAGAGAAAAGGCCAGCGGCCAAUGGCAGAUUCUGAAGGACUUUGAAGAUCUCAUAUGUCAGGAUCUCUGUGCACUGGGAGGGGUAGGGAUGUUGAGAAAUGGAUCAGGAGCCCCCAGGCCCUGACCAAGCCCCCAGAGUCAUCCCCGGCCCCAGGGGGGCAGCACGCUUACCAGGUCAGCAGAGACUGCAGUGGUGAUGAGCGCGUAAGGGCCAUUGACCAAGGCCCCACAGAUGAUCAACAUUACUGAGGCAGUAACAGAGACAGCUGGUUACAGAUGAGGGACCGCCACCAGCCCCAGCCCCAAAGCAGGUGAGACCACCCCCUCCGGGCAUCAGGCUGAGAACCUCCACUUCCCUGUGCCUCCCACCGAUGUCCCCAAGCCAGCUUCCUGGGGUCCCCAAGGCAAGGCUUUUCCUGUGGGCUGCCAGGACUUGCAUCCACGCCCUCACCUAUGGAGUUGAUAAUCCCACUCUGACCAAUGAAGUUAUACAGGAACAUCUGGGAGGGGAGAGGGGAGAGACAGUCACGCCCAGGCUUCCCCAUGGGCUGCCUGGGUUAGAUGGAGCCCAGAAGUCUGGCACACCCCCUCCUGCCAGGGAACCUCAGAGGUCACCUUACUCCUUUUCUUUCUCGAACCCAGACCUCUUGGUCUUUAAAUGUCCCAGGGAUGGAGGGUCCAACACAUGGUAAUAUACUGUUGCCCUUUUUUUCACAAAGAUUUCUCUCUUACCUAACCUUAAUUUCCUAUACUCUCCUUGACCAAGAACUUUAGCAGCUGGCCUCCCCUUUCUCCACCAAGGCCAAGUCGUCGCUAAUCCCUUUCCAAAAUUCUCAGUCCAAAUCUCUUUCCUGUGUUCACCCUGGCUUCUCCCCCGCCCCUGGUUGUGCACAAGGAUGGACACACACGCAAAGAGACAGGCGUGUGCAUAAAUGCCCAGGUGUGCACACAUUUCAACAGCCCGCACGAGUCCACGUGAGCACAUGUGCUUCACUCUUGAGGUUAUACACACCAUGGGGGCAGCCAAGAUCAGCAUGAUGCAGCAGGUGGUGGCCCUGCCAUUGGUGUAGUCAGAGAUGAGCCCUGCCAUGAUGCCACCUAGAACACAAACCAACUCACACGUUGCUGCCCCAGGUAUGGCCACGGCCUCCCACUACAUGGCACCCCAAGCUUUGCCCCAUCCUCUACCUGAUGCUAGCUUGGGCAUGGGCAUCCAGAACCAACAGAGCUUCCCCCUCUCAAGCCCUCCCGGCACCCAUUGCUCAUGAGAAGAUCAAACUCAAGAGCCAACUUUCUUAGGGCCACCCAACUGGGCAGGAGCUGCCCAGGUCAUGUCACAUUGGCCCUGUCCUGUCCUUCUGCACCCGCACAAGAGAAAAGGAGAAUGAAGCCUGAGGCAGAACAGGGAAGGGCCUUACCUAUGAUGCCACCAACAUCGAAGAGAGUAGACAGGUCCCCAGCCUGUUUGGCAUUGAAAUGAGCUAUGCAAAACACAAAUAUGUGGUCAGACCUGGGGGCUCAGAGCAAACGCCCUGGAGUGCCACUGCCAUAAGAACCCCUAUAGAGCACCUGAUUCGGUCCACUUCCUCCUUUUUCAGAUGAAGGAGUGAAGACUCAUGGGGAAGUCAUUGGCCAGGGUCACAAGUAAAUUUGCAGCACUUUUGGAUUGGACACCCUUUCUGCCCCUCCAUCCCAUCCUGUAAUUCCUUCUCCCCCUGCAGGUUGGCCUUGACCCCUUGGAAAAGCCUUCCCCUGAAAGCACUGGGAUCUGGCCCAUAAGAACCCUGUCCCACUGGGCCACUUUUACCCUGGGGACACAACUCUCACUGAGCUGCAGCUCAACCAGCCACAUUCGUGCUCUGCUCCUGAACAACUGGCCUCCUCUGCCAGGAGCCUUCCCACCCAUUUGAGACCUUUGCUAAUAAACAGAGCCAGGAAGGAGACUCACAGGCAAAUGGGGACCUCAGGUCUUAGCCCUUGUCCUAGGAUUAGAAAAAGGAAUGUCCAGAAGCUUGAGUUGUAGCUUAAUCCUCAAGGUUGACUCAUACAAGGCCACAAAACAAAGAGUCACAGUGUCCACGGAGCUACCCUGAUGCUCUACUUUUAUCUUUGAAAGAGGCCCUAUGACAGGGCUGUUGGGCAAGAUAUGAGCUGGGAUUUGGCCUUGCAUAAUCUGGCCUUGCAGCAUCCCGUUCAGAGCAAGUACGGUGCAUGUAAAGCAGCCUUGGCCCUCCCACAGGGCUUGGAGGGAGCAGCAAAGCCCUGGAGCAGAGGGCCUCAGCCCUGCAGGGCUCUGCGGUCAGGGGCGGGGGGGAGGGGGCCCAGAGGAGGGCAGUGCAGCUGACCCAGGCACAAGCCAUCCGUCCAGGAGGCUCCCGGCAGCCCCUGGGGUGAGAAAAGCAGGCGGUGGGUAGCUCACUAGGCCCUCUCCUGGGGUUUGGGGAGGCAUUCAAAGGCAGAUCCUUCCUAGCACCAUCUAUCCACUCAUCUGGGAGCCAAGCAGGCCUGAGGUGGGUGCUCCUGUACUUAAGGCUAGAGAAGUUAGGCAGGAUUACAGAAUAAAACUUGGGUGUUCCUAAUCUCCAAGGAGGAGAGGUGGCUGGCAUUGGGGUCUCUGAGGCCGCGUACAAGGUCUAACUUCCUACUUAACCAAAUUUUUUUUUUUAAGUCUCCUUUUGCCCUACGAGAGGUUCAGCAGACAUCCUGCCCAUACUCUGGAGUCACGCACAUCCCAUGACAGGUUUCCUCUCCCUGCCAAAGAUGGCCUUGGCCUCCUCAGAGACCCCCAUCCUCACCUCUUCUUCCCCUUUACUUACCCACAUUGAAGAUGUAGAGGGGCAGCCAGUAGAGGAAGGUGUAACUGACCAGCUUGGCAAAGAGCAGACACAAAGAGAACUCGACCACACCCUGGAGAGCAUAACAGAAGGCAUGAGGGAAGAGAUACAAGAGAUCCCUGGCCCAGGGUAGCCCCAGAGGCUGACUCAGCACCCCAGGGCUGCCACCACCUAGCCACAAAGCAACCUCAAGUACACCUCCAUCCAAUCCCAGUAAAAGCGAUGUGCCUAUGCUCCAGUGCUGUGUCAAGGCAAGCCUCCCAUGUUACUCCCCCCAAGUUGGCUAUUCACCCUAAGCAUCUCAUGUAAAGAAAUUUUGGAAGCCAUAGGUCACCCCGAGCGUCCCCCCAUCUCCUGACAUCCAGCAGAGAAAUCUAGAGAGCCCCUCUCUUCCCUCCAUCCUGCAAGCUUCUCACCGGGAUCCGGAGCGCCCCGAGGAAGCUGAUGGCGGCAGGCUGAGCGCUUGGCUCCUUGGAGCAUCUGGCGGGGGUCUCCAGGCUGCUCUCCUUGUUAGUGUACGGACCACUCCCAAGGUCCUCAGGGUUGUGCUGGUUCUCUUCCAACCCAUCCUGAACAGAGAUGAGCCCUUGCUGUGAGCACAUUUGCGUACUGCCUCCCACCAGCUGGAGGUAUAAGCCACGUGAGAGGUAGGGGUUCCCAGGCUGGAAGAGGUACGCGCUCCUCUCCUGGACUGAACUACCAUCUGGCGAGGCCCGAUCAGGCUGUCGGGGAGCCAACCUGAGGGCCUGACACUGAGCCCGUGAGGUAACCCACUGAGCUCGUGGGUACACGAGCCCCUCCUCCAACUCCCUAGUCCCCUCUGGGACCUGUCUCUGAGGAUGGAUUGGCAGGGUGGGGGUCGGGCUGGGGGCACUCACACUCGUGUGGUGCUGAGGAGGCGUGCAGUCCACAUCUUCGGGGUCUGAAAAAAACAACCCGCUAAGAAGCUUCCUGGCGGGCCAGGCCCCGCUCCCUAAGGUGGCCAGUCUACUUCCCAGCACAAGAGAGCCUGCAACCCAGGCUCGAGAGACACAUUCUAAGCGUGGCUCCCCUAACAACCACCUGGGUCACUACUGCCUUGUGGACUUCCGUUCUCUUGCUACAAAGUGGCCACCCUGCCCGGCCUAGCUCUGUCUCCGAAGGCUGUCAGGGAAUGGGGAAGAGGACAGGGAAUGGGGAAGAGGACAGCGGAUGGGGAGUGUCCCGUCACCCCUACUCUCCCCUUCUCACACUUCAGAGUCAGCUGGCACUUGCCGGGCACAACUACAGGCCGUGCGUCCCAACUGUACGUCUCACUGACACCUUAACCAACCCCCAACCCUAGGAAGUAGAUGCUAUUAUUCUUAAUUCACAAAUGAGAAAACUGAGGCCCAGAGAGGUUGUCUGUCCCGGGCCACAUACAGGUCCUCCAGCUCCACGACCAGUAAUCCUCCCCCUCGAGCCAGCUGCCUUCUCUCAGACCCCGAGAGGAGAAGAGGGAGGUUCAGUUCUGGCCCUGUGGAGAGGGAGGGGUCCGCUCACAUUCGAUGAGGAAGAGGAAGGUGAUGACACCCAUAGCAGCGGUGAUGAUGCCAGGCACCACAAACGACAGGCCCCACUGCUCAUUCACCCAGAUGCCAGCGAUCAGGGAGCCCAGGAUGUUGCCCACAGACGUGUGUGAGUUCCAGAUGCCCAUGAUAAGCCCCCGCCUGGAGGGGAGGGAGCAAUGGCGGGGAAAGGAAGGGGAGGAGAGUAAAUAAAUAAAUAAAUAAAUAAAUAAAUAAAAAGUCAGAGAAGCACAGGGUUCAUCACAACUGCCCUGGCCAAGUGCAAAACGCUGGCUGCCUCCAGCCUCGAAGCCCAAAGGCAACCAGUCAGGGAGGAGGCGGAAGGCAUGCCUAGCGUCAAGCAAGUGACAACAAGGCCUGGGGUCCUGCUCCCCUCUGCCAGCAACCAGAGGCAGCACACGCGGGGGCUUCCAGAUGGAGCUCUCCCUGUCCUGAGGACAUCAAGCCCCCCACCCCCAACCCCACUAUGGCUGCUGGUCCUCCACCAGGGCCACUCUGCCUCCAGGGGACAUUGGCAAAGUCUGGAGAUUUUGCACUGGCCCAGCCCCAGGUGUGCUACUGGCAUCUAGUGGGUAGGUGCUGCUAAACCCACUACAGUGUGUCAGGUGGCCCCAUAGCAAAGAAUGAUCCAGGCCCGAAUGUCGGUAGGGCUGAGCUGGACAAUCUCUGCUCUAAAGCAACAUUUUUUUUUUUUUUUGCACAAAAGCCAGUACAAGUACAAAAUAAUAAUAAUAACAACAAUAAUAAAGUUUUAACAGUCUCCA